rnacentral:tRNA from 1 species
GCCCCUGUAGUGCAGCGGCCAAGCAUCCGGCCCUUUCGAGGCCGUGACCCGGGUUCGAAUCCCGGCAGGGGCA